rnacentral:rRNA from 1 species
CAGCCGCCGCGAUAAUACCGGCGGCCCGAGUGGCGGUCACUAUUAUUGGGCUUAAAACGUCCGUAGCCGGGUUGGGAAGUCCUCCGGGAAAUCUGGCCGCUUAACGGUCAGAAUGCCGGAGGAUACUCCCAGCCUAGGGAGCGGGAGAGGCCGAGGGUAUUCCCGGAGUAGGGGUGAAAUCCUAUAAUCCCGGGAGGACCACCUGUGGCGAAGGCGCUCGGCUGGAACGCGUCCGACGGUGAGGGACGAAGGCCAGGGGAGCAAACCGGAUUAGAUACCCGGGUAGUCCUGGCUGUAAACGAUGCGGACUAGGUGUCGGGCAAGCUAAGGGCUUGUCCGGUGCCGCAGGGAAGCCGUUAAGUCCGCCGCCUGGGGAGUACGGCCGCAAGGCUGAAACUUAAAGGAAUUGGCGGG